rnacentral:lncRNA from 1 species
AUGGGAAUCAGGGAGUCUUGGUUGGUGCAAUAUUGCUGCCAGUGCACAGUCGUUGUAGCGAUUGGCACCUGCUGUUCUUCGACCGUCAGCAACCCCCAUGACUGGAGUGCUGCAAUGACUGGCUAUGGGCUCUUCAGAAGGGACAGGCAGCACAGAAGGGGUGGUGGUGUGGCUCUCCAUAUUAGAGAGUGUUUUGAUGUUGUGGAACCUGAGACUGGAAAUAAGGUUGAGUCCCUAUGGGUUAGGAUCGGCGGGAAGGCCAACAAGGCAAGCAUCCUGGUAGGGGUCUGUUACAGACUGCCAAACCAGAAUGAGGAGAUGGAUGAGGAGUUCUACAGGCAUCUGGCAAACGUUGUGAAAUCAUCAGCUCUUGUUCUGAUGGGGGACUUCAACCUCCCAGAUGUAUUCUGGAAAUGCAAUACAUCUCAGAGCAAACAGUCUAGGAGGUUUCUGGAGAGCAUGGAAGAUAGUUUCCUGAUGCAGCUGGUUAGUGAGCCUGCCAGGGGAGGUGCCCCGCUAGACCUUCUGUUCACAAACAGAGAAGUACUGGUGGGAGAUGUGGUGGUCAGGAGCUGUUUUGGGCAGAGUGACCAUGAAAUAGUAGAGUUCUCAAUUCUUGGCGAAGUCAGGAGAAGGAUCAGUAAAACUGCUGUCUUGGGCUUCCAGAGGGCUGACUUUGAGGUGUUUAGGACCCUGGUUGGUAGAGUCGCUUGGGAGGCAGUUCUGAAGGGCAGAGGAGUCUUGGAAGGCUGGGCACUCCUCAAGAAGGAAAUCUUAAUGGCUCAGGAGCGGUCUGUCCCCAGGCGCCCAAAGAUGAGCCAGUGUGGAAGAAGACCGGCCUGGCUGAACAGAGAUUUGAGGCUAGAGCUUAGGAAAAAAAAAAAAAAGAGGGGUUGGGGUCUUUGGAAAAGAGGGGGGGCCACUCAGAAGAAUUAUAAGGGUGUUGUAAGGAUGUGCAGGGAAAAAAUUAGAAAGGCCAAAAGCUCAUCUGGAGCUGUCUGGCUACUACUGUUAAAGAUAAAAGGAAAUGUUUUUAUAAAUACAUUAACAUGA